GAUGAACGCUGGCGGCGUGCCUAAUACAUGCAAGUCGAGCGAACAGACGAGGAUCUUUCUCCUCUUACGUUAGCGGCGGACGGGUGAGUAACACGUGGAUAACCUACCUAUAAGACUGGGAUAACUUCGGGAAACCGGAGCUAAUACCUGAUAACAUGUUGAACCGCAUGGUUCAACAGUGAAAGACGGUCUUGCUGUCACUUAUAGAUGGAUCCGCGCCGCAUUAGCUAGUUGGUAAGGUAACGGCUUACCAAGGCAACGAUGCGUAGCCGACCUGAGAGGGUGAUCGGCCACACUGGAACUGAGACACGGUCCAGACUACUACGGGAGGGAGGAGUAGGGAAUCUUCAGCAAUGGGCGAAAGCCUGCCGGAGCAACGCCGCGUGAGUGAAGAAGGUCUUCGGAUCGUAAAACUCUGUUAUUAGGGAAGAACAAAUGUGUAAGUAACUAUGCACGUCUUGACGGUACCUAAUCAGAAAGCCACGGCUAACUACGUG
rnacentral:rRNA from 1 species